GGCUCACAUGCCUCUAUACAAACAUCCAUAGUGUGGGCAAUAAAGAAGAGGAAUUAGUGAUGUGUGCGCAUCUAUGGGGAUAUGAUACCACUGGGAUGGUAGAAUUUG